UACAGAGGGUGCAAGCGUUGUUCGGAAUUAUUGGGCGUAAAGGGCGCGUAGGCGGUGCGGUAAGUCUGUAGUGAAAUCUCUGGGCUCAACUCAGAGUCUGCUGCAGAAACUGCCGUGCUUGAGUGUGGGAGAGGUGAGUGGAAUUCCGUGGUGAGCGGUGAAAUGCGCAGAUAUCAGGAGAACACCGGUGGCGAAGGCGGGUCUCUGGCGAAUGUGACGUGAGGAGCGAAGACGUGGGGAGCAAACAGG
rnacentral:rRNA from 1 species